GGAACGAUAGCUCAGCAGGUAGAGCACGAGACUCUUAAUCUCUGGGUUGUGAGUUUGAGCCCCACAUUGGGCAAAAGAUUCU
rnacentral:tRNA from 1 species